AGAAUUUUAGAUCUAGAAGGGCCCAAAUAGAACAUCUUUUUCAACACUUUCAUUUUAAAGAUGAAGAAAUGUGGUGUUGAAAGAUAAAAUCAGCCAAAUGAAGAUGAGGCCAUAUUGGAAUACAGUGGGCUCUUAAUCUAAUCUGACUACAGUUGUUAUAAGUAGACAUCCAUGCGAAGACACAGAGACACAGGGAGAACAUCACGGAACGUCAAAAGGCAGAGAAUGGAGUUACACAGCUGCAAACCAAGAAAUGCCAACCACUGCCAUCAAGCUUCUAAAAGCUAGGAAGAAAGAAGGAAAAUUUCAUACGGAAAGUAGCCACUACCAACACCUUGAUUUUGGACUUCUAUCCUCCAGAACUGCAAGAGAAUAAUUUCCUGUUGAUUUAAGCCAUUUCACGUGUGGUACUGUGUUACAGCAGCCCUGGGAAAGAAUAAUCUAUCAAAAAUGU